GGGGUGGAGACUGCAAACCCAGGUGCAAAAUCGGGGCCACGGAGAGGUGCCAACAAGGAAUUAGUGAAAGGGAGGCAAAUACUUGCUUCCAGAGGAAUCGAAGAAAGGCUUUGUAGUAUAUACACUGCACCAUAAAAGACUAUCAAAGGGCAGAGAGGGGAUGAGUGCUCUAUACAGAAUGUACUGCAGAAGCAAAGGUGGGGAAUAAAGACGCUCACCUGCUAAAUCAGCCCGGAGCUCUGGAAUACAAUACCCAUCCUGAGCGUUAUCAGACGGAUGGCUUUGCUGUGGGCCUGCUCAGUGUGCCGAGAAUGCAGAUGUCUUGUGCCGCCCUCUCCUGCCGACUGGAUGACUCCACAAUCAGGCGUUCAGGAAAGCCAUCAAGCCAUAAGGACAGAGGAUGAGCAGGUAGCGAUGCAGGAGGUGAGGUCGGAGACCUGGGAAGAGGAGUCCAUGCCGGCUCCGUGCAGCUCGGGACACAUGCUAGGACCUCAGUAAGCAUUUACUGAGUGAGCAAAACGAAUGGAUGAAUCAGAUCAUCGAAACUGGAAGCUCUUCGCAGCGCACAUUUGAAUGGGGGCGUUUGUGCAGCCACCAGCUCCAUUAACCCGACAUGCCGAUGUGAUUAAUGUUGCUUUCUGCAGAAGUCUUGGCCUGAAAAUCUCAACGCUGAACACCUGAAGGAAAAAAAAAAAAAAAAAGCCCACUGGCAAAGCUUUCUUUUCCCAGUGGGAGACUCCCAGCAACGUUGCCAGUAUCCUGGGGCCAAUACCUUUCUGACGUUGCAAUAACUCCCAAGUGAAACAAAUUGCCCACGAGUUUAUAAGCUUCUUGUUCGUUGGAUGGAUUCCUCCGAGUGCUCUGUUGGCUUCACUCUCCCCACGCACAUGCCAGUGAGUUCCACUGACAAUUCGUGUGCCUGCAAGUUCGCGCUGCGGCAGAGGCAGGCUGGCAUUUCCGAGUUAGCAUCUGCUCUGUGAUCUAUGAUCUACGGUUCCCACUCCCUCCUGCCUUCACUUUGAACUGAAGUGCUGCGUUAAGCAACCCCACUACCCACCGCCGAGCAAGCCGGGACCUGAGUCCUGACGAGUGCUAUCCCAGGUUAACCAGUAAGCCCAGUAUUGCCACUGCCGGGUAAUGAUAGCCACAGUGAACUGAAUGAAGUGACCAUGGUGGCAAGGAUCAAGCUUGGCACUGGAGCUGGCCAGAAGGUUUAACCAGAGGAGGCCCUGGGGGACCCCGUGGGAAGCUAACGUGGAGAAUGGGCAUUUGGUUGUGGCCGCGCGUUUACACAGCAGACACUGAGAUGGAGAAGCGGUAGAGAAAGCAUAGCUGUCACCUGAGCAAAGAUCAGUUUGAUCCUUUGUGGUAAAAAUGCACCUGGGAAAUUAAAUUGUCAGAGUUCCCACGGUGGCUCAGCGGUAACAAACCCGACUAGGAUCCCUGAGGAUUCGAGUUUGGUCCCUGGCCUCGCUCAGUGGGUGAAGGAUCCUGCGUUGCCGUGAGCUGUGGAGUAGGUCGCAGACAUAGCUCAGAUCUGGCGUUGCUCUGGCUGUGGUGCAGGCCGGCGGCUGCAGCUCUGACUCCACCCCUAGCCUGGGAACCUCCAUAUGCCAUGGGUGCGGCCCUGAAAAGAGCAAAAAAAAAAAAAAAAAAAAAAAAA
rnacentral:lncRNA from 1 species